rnacentral:rRNA from 1 species
CCUACGGGAGGCAGCAGUGAGGAAUAUUGGUCAAUGGGCGCGAGCCUGAACCAGCCAAGUAGCGUGAAGGAUGACUGCCCUACGGGUUGUAAACCUCUUUUAUAAGGGAAUAAAGUGAGGCACGUGUGCCUUUUUGUAUGUAUUUUAUGAAUAAGGAUCGGCUAACUCCGUGCCAGCAGCCGCGGUAAUACGGAGGAUCCGAGCGUUAUCCGGAUUUAUUGGGUUUAAAGGGAGCGUAGAUGGGUUGUUAAGUCAGUUGUGAAAGUUCGCGGCUCAACCGUAAAAUUGCAAUUGAUACUGGCAGCCUUGAGUACAGUAGAGGUAGGCGGAAUUCGUGGUGUAGCGGUGAAAUGCUUAGAUAUCACGAAGAACUCCGAUUGCGAAGGCAGCCUACUAAGCUGCCACUGACGUUGAGGCUCGAAAGUGUGGGUAUCAAACAGGAUUAGAUACCCGAGUAGUC